UACGUAGGGGGCAAGCGUUGUCCGGAUUUACUGGGUGUAAAGGGUGCUCAGGCGGUCUUGUAAGUCAGAGGUGAAAUCUCAAGGCUUAACCUUGAAACUGCCUUUGAUACCGCUGGGCUUGAGUACGGAAGAGGCGGAUGGAAUUCCUGGUGUAGCAGUGAAAUGCGUAGAUAUCAGGAGGAACACCGGUGGCGAAGGCGGUCCGCUGGUCCGUUACUGACGCUAAAGCACGAAAGCGUGGGGAGCAAACAGG
rnacentral:rRNA from 1 species